GAUGAACGCUGGCGGCGUGCUUAACACAUGCAAGUCGAACGAAGCACUUUAUUUGAUUUCCUUCGGGACUGAUUAUUUUGUGACUGAGUGGCGGACGGGUGAGUAACGCGUGGGUAACCUGCCUUGUACAGGGGGAUAACAGUUGGAAACGGCUGCUAAUACCGCAUAAGCGCACAGCAUCGCAUGAUGCAGUGUGAAAAACUCCGGUGGUAUAAGAUGGACCCGCGUUGGAUUAGCUAGUUGGUGAGGUAACGGCCCACCAAGGCGACGAUCCAUAGCCGACCUGAGAGGGUGACCGGCCACAUUGGGACUGAGACACGGCCCAAACUCCUACGGGAGGCAGCAGUGGGGAAUAUUGCACAAUGGGCGAAAGCCUGAUGCAGCGACGCCGCGUGAGCGAAGAAGUAUUUCGGUAUGUAAAGCUCUAUCAGCAGGGAAGAUAAUGACGGUACCUGACUAAGAAGCA
rnacentral:rRNA from 1 species